ACACGGGGGGCGCAAGCGUUAUUCGGAAUUAUUGGGCGUAAAGGGCGCGCAGGCGGUCUUGUCCGUCAGGUGUGAAAGCUCGGGGCUCAACCCCGGAAGUGCACUUGAAACAACAAGACUUGAAUACGGGAGAGGGAAAGCGGAAUUCCUGGUGUAGAGGUGAAAUUCGUAGAUAUCAGGAGGAACACCGAUGGCGAAGGCAGCUUUCUGGACCGAUAUUGACGCUGAGGCGCGAAGGCGUGGGUAGC
rnacentral:rRNA from 1 species